rnacentral:misc_RNA from 1 species
UCCAAGGAAGAACCCUGGGAAUUAAAGAUGAAAGGUCAAAAAUUAUGAUGGAAUCUGAAAAAAUGUUUGAAAGAGAAAUCCAGAUCCUUGUAUAGAAAUAUGAAAUAUAGUUGGCUUUGAAAACCCCAUGAUUGUAGAACAAGGCACAACUAAACAUCAAAGGUUUCUAGAAAGGAUUUCAUUUCAAGGCUCCCUUAUUCAGGUUUUUAGUAUAUUGGGUUUAAUUCCAAUGCCAGAUGAAGGGACUUUUUGAGACUACCUGUUCAAGACCCUGCCAAUGAAUCUGCAGUCAAACAGAGAAAUUACAGAGACAAAGGUCAUGGCUAAAAACAGCUAGAAAGAAUAGCCGUGCAUUUGAUUUGCCUAUUAGGGUAGUGCUGCAUGUAUACUCAAAAACAGAAACCAAAUUUGCGGGCUUUCACAUGAAUACACUGGAAUGCAAAGAUUGAUUCGCUAAUUCGAGCGAUGAAGUAUUUAUAAUUUGAGUAUGUCUAUAAAUUUACAUUUCAGGAUCUGGGAUGCCAACAAAAAAGGUUGGAAUUCCAUACAAUUGCCACUUGAAGAACACCCCUCCCACAGGCAGAAGCAAACACGACAACAUCACUCGAAAAAAGAACAAAGAAAUAUCCUCUCCGAACAAACACAGCCAAGAUCUGAUGCAGGGGAAACAUUUGCAAGCUCAUUUUUCGUAUUUCCUUCGUCUCCAGACCAAUUUUAGCAUGGAGCACGACCCAACUGUAAUCACAAGGGCUAGCAUUCGACCACCGACAAGUCCAGCAAGAACAAUUAGAAAGAGGACCAGAUAACCUGAACUGCCUCCUCUUUCAGUAUCCACCCUUUCCUCGACUACAAUCAUUUCUGGCUUAGUCUGCAAUGCCUGACUAGAAAUAGAACUUGUGUGCUCAAAUUCUUCUUUUCCACCAGUCCUAAAUCUUUCUUUUUCUUUUUCUUUUUCU